GACGAACGCUGGCGGCGUGCCUAACACAUGCAAGUCGAACGGAACUGUUUUGACAGAUUUCUUCGGAAUGAAUUUGAUUUAGUUUAGUGGCGGACGGGUGAGUAACACGUGAGUAACCUGCCUUCAAGAGGGGAAUAACAUUCUGAAAAGAAUGCUAAUACCGCAUGACAUAUCGGAACCACAUGGUUUUGAUAUCAAAGAUUUUAUCGCUUGAAGAUGGACUCGCGUCCGAUUAGUUAGUUGGUGAGGUAACGGCUCACCAAGACCGCGAUCGGUAGCCGGACUGAGAGGUUGAACGGCCACAUUGGGACUGAGACACGGCCCAGACUCCUACGGGAGGCAGCAGUGGGGGAUAUUGCGCAAUGGGGGCAACCCUGACGCAGCAACGCCGCGUGAAGGAUGAAGGUUUUCGGAUUGUAAACUUCUUUUAUUAAGGACGAAAAAUGACGGUACUUAAUGAAUAAGCUCCGGCUAACUACGUG
rnacentral:rRNA from 1 species